rnacentral:tRNA from 1 species
CAAAAGGUAAUUUAAUUAAAAUAUUAACAUUGGAAGUUAAAAAUUGAGUGUGUACUUAUCUUUUGA